GAUGAACGCUGGCGGCAUGCCUAAUACAUGCAAAUCGAACGAGAGGAAGGAAAGCUUGCUUUUCUGAAUCUAGUGGCGAACGGGUGAGUAACACGUAGGUAACCUGCCCAUGUGCCCGGGAUAACUUCUGGAAACGGAUGCUAAAACCGGAUAGGUAGCAGACAAGCAUUUGACUGCUAUUAAAUUGGCUAAGGCCAUGAACAUGGAUGGACCUGCGGUGCAUUAGCUAGUUGGUGAGGUAACGGCCCACCAAGGCGACGAUGCAUAGCCGGCCGGAGAGGGCGGACGGCCACAUUGGGACUGAGACACGGCCCAAACUCCUACGGGAGGCAGCAGUAGGGAAUUUUCGUCAAUGGGGGGAACCCUGAACGAGCAAUGCCGCGUGAGUGAGGAAGGUCUUCGGAUCGUAAAGCUCUGUUGUAAGAGAAAAACGACAUUCAUAGGGAAUGAUGAGUGAGUGAUGGUAUCUUACCAGAAAGUCACGGCUAACUACGUGCCAGCCGCCGCCGUAA
rnacentral:rRNA from 1 species